rnacentral:rRNA from 1 species
UACAGAGGGGGCAGGCGUUGUUCGGAAUUACUGGGCGUAAAGGGCGCGUAGGCGGCCCGCUAAGUCGAACUGAAAUCCCCGAGCUCAACUCGGGAACUGCGUCCGAUACUGGUGGGCUUGAAUCCGGGAGAGGGAUGCGGAAUUCCAGGUGUAGCGGUGAAAUGCGUAGAUAUCUGGAGGAACACCGGUGGCGAAGGCGGCAUCCUGGACCGGCAUUGACGCUGAGGCGCGAAAGCUAGGGGAGCAACGGG